rnacentral:rRNA from 1 species
GUAAAUGCCUAUAGCAUAGCAUUAAUGCACCAAAUCCCAUUGGAACUUAAAACUUAAGCGUGUUCGGGCUAGAAUAGUACCGAGAUGGGUGAUCACCCAAGAAGUCCUAGUGUUUUACG